rnacentral:rRNA from 1 species
UACGUAGGGGGCAAGCGUUGUCCGGAAUCAUUGGGCGUAAAGAGCGUGUAGGCGGCUCGAUAAGUCUGCUGUGAAAGUCCAGGGCUCAACCCUGGAAGGCCGGUGGAAACUGUCGGGCUAGAGUCCGGAAGAGGCGAGUGGAAUUCCCGGUGUAGCGGUGAAAUGCGCAGAUAUCGGGAGGAACACCAAUGGCGAAGGCAGCUCGCUGGGACGGUACUGACGCUGAGGCGCGAAAGCGUGGGGAGCGAACGGG